UCGAACACGGUUGGGGUGUAGGUAUGAGUGCCGCCACUUGUUGUUGGAUGAUAGCAUCCAAUAUCAGUCGGAGGAGUUCAAAGUUUCCUAGCCCGCGGAUGGGCAAUCGAGCAGCUAAACAAGCAGUGCGAACGAACAACGGUUCAGGAGAGGGUUUGACAUCUUCUAACUUUAAGUAGCAACAGAGCAUUUUCGGACCCAAACCAGCCGGCGCACCGUAAAUAACUCACUGCAAUUGUGAUAACCGAGGUGAUAAGCAAUCUAUUUCAUUGGCGUGAAGAGAGAGAGACAAAUGAAGACGCACGCACGGCACGGAUCACGCUCCCGAAGGAUUGACACUGGCUGGCUCGAGAAAAUUGUCUGUUCUAAGCCAACUUCUUAUGGUCACUGUUUCCGUUUGUGAUUUUCUGAUCCGCUGGACUUUGAACCCGUUGAAGUGGUUAUCAGCGAAGGAACAAGUCGUGAUUAGACUGUUUGUGCCUCUAAACUGCUGCCAGUUACUUAACUAUGCUGCUCUUGGUCAAGGGGAAAGUGAGAAUCUUAGGACUACGUUUUUUCCUGUUGAUCUUCUUUGCACUUAAUUUAUAGCCGAAGGCGACAAACUUGUACGCAGUGCAUUGAAUUUGUUUAAAUUUAUUUACCCCUUGCAAUACAGUUACUAAAGACAUACAGAGUGUUUCCAGUUCAACACGAUGAAGAAAAUGUCAUUAUUAUCUGAACUAAUUUGAACUAAUGAUUGGAAUGAAAUUUGGCUGAUAUGGUGGGGAGCACGUGAGGAUUGAACGUGCGGCUGCAUUUGGUCAACGACAAACAGUUUAUUCUCAUGUACACAAACUAUAUUAAAACAAAUCAGGAGAUUUACUUUUCACCAAUUUCACCAAAAAAUUUCAGGGCUUAAUUUUAUCGAUUGCGAGAGAGCGACGACGAGCGCGUUCGUCUGCCCAAGUCAACCCCAGAGACGUACAAAUGUUCACGAAAGUUAUUUCUAAUUUAUAAAGC